rnacentral:rRNA from 1 species
UACGUAGGGGGCUAGCGUUGUCCGGAAUCAUUGGGCGUAAAGAGCGUGUAGGCGGUCCGGUAAGUCCGCUGUGAAAGUCGGGGGCUCAACCCUCGAAUGCCGGUGGAUACUGUCGGGCUAGAGUGCGGAAGAGGCGAGUGGAAUUCCUGGUGUAGCGGUGAAAUGCGCAGAUAUCAGGAGGAACACCGGUGGCGAAGGCGGCUUUCUGGACAGAAACUGACGCUGAUGCGCGAAAGCUAGGGGAGCAAACAGG